rnacentral:rRNA from 1 species
UAACAGGAAGCAGCUUGCUGCUUUGCUGACGAGUGGCGGACGGGUGAGUAAUGUCUGGGAAACUGCCUGAUGGAGGGGGAUAACUACUGGAAACGGUGGCUAAUACCGCAUAACGUCGCAAGACCAAAGAGGGGGACCUUCGGGCCUCUUGCCAUCAGAUGUGCCCAGAUGGGAUUAGCUUGUUGGUGAGGUAACGGCUCACCAAGGCGACGAUCCCUAGCUGGUCUGAGAGGAUGACCAGCCACACUGGAACUGAGACACGGUCCAGACUCCUACGGGAGGCAGCAGUGGGGAAUAUUGCACAAUGGGCGCAAGCCUGAUGCAGCCAUGCCGCGUGUAUGAAGAAGGCCUUCGGGUUGUAAAGUACUUUCAGCGGGGAGGAAGGUGUUGUGGUUAAUAACCGCAGCAAUUGACGUUACCCGCAGAAGAAGCACCGGCUAACUCCGUGCCAGCAGCCGCGGUAAUACGGAGGGUGCAAGCGUUAAUCGGAAUUACUGGGCGUAAAGCGCACGCAGGCGGUCUGUCAAGUCGGAUGUGAAAUCCCCGGGCUCAACCUGGGAACUGCAUUCGAAACUGGCAGGCUUGAGUCUUGUAGAGGGGGGUAGAAUUCCAGGUGUAGCGGUGAAAUGCGUAGAGAUCUGGAGGAAUACCGGUGGCGAAGGCGGCCCCCUGGACAAAGACUGACGCUCAGGUGCGAAAGCGUGGGGAGCAAACAGGAUUAGAUACCCUGGUAGUCCACGCCGUAAACGAUGUCUACUUGGAGGUUGUGCCCUUGAGGCGUGGCUUCCGGAGCUAACGCGUUAAGUAGACCGCCUGGGGAGUACGGCCGCAAGGUUAAAACUCAAAUGAAUUGACGGGGGCCCGCACAAGCGGUGGAGCAUGUGGUUUAAUUCGAUGCAACGCGAAGAACCUUACCUGGUCUUGACAUCCACGGAAGUUUUCAGAGAUGAGAAUGUGCCUUCGGGAACCGUGAGACAGGUGCUGCAUGGCUGUCGUCAG